UACGUAGGGGGCAAGCGUUGUCCGGAAUCAUUGGGCGUAAAGAGCGCGUAGGCGGUCCGGUAAGUCCGCUGUGAAAGUCAGGGGCUCAACCCUUGAAUGCCGGUGGAUACUGUCGGGCUAGAGUCCGGAAGAGGCGAGUGGAAUUCCCGGUGUAGCGGUGAAAUGCGCAGAUAUCGGGAGGAACACCCGUAGCGAAGGCGGCACUCUGGGCCGGAACUGACGCUGAGGAGCGAAAGCGUGGGGAGCAAACAGG
rnacentral:rRNA from 1 species